CUACGGGUCGCACCAGUGGGGAAUAUUGGACAAUGGACCAAAAGUCUGAUCCAGCAAUUCUGUGUGCACGAUGACGGUUUUCGGAUUGUAAAGUGCUUUCAACAGGGAAGAAGUUCUGACGGUACCUGUAGAAGAAGCGACGGCUAAAUACGUGCCAGCAGCGCGCGGUAAUACGUAUGUCGCAAGCGUUAUCCGGAUUUAUUGGGCAUAAAGGGCAUCUAGGCGGCUUAGUAAGUCUGAUGUGAAAAUGCGGGGCUCAACUCCGUAUUGCGUUGGAAACUACUAAGCUAGAGUAUUGGAGAGGUAGGCGGAACUACAUGUGUAGAGGUGAAAUUCGUAGAUAUAUGUAGGAAUGCCGAUGACGAAGGUAGCUUACUGGACAAUUACUGACGCUGAAGUGCGAAAGCUAGGGGAGCAAACAGGAUUAGAUACCCCAGUAGUC
rnacentral:rRNA from 1 species